rnacentral:rRNA from 1 species
CGCCUCUUGAUUAAUUAUAAGAGGUCUAGCCUGCCCAGUGACACUAGUUCAACGGCCGCGGUAUCCUAACCGUGCGAAGGUAGCGUAAUCACUUGUUUUUUAAAUAAAGACUUGUAUGAAAGGCUUCACGAGGGCCUAACUGUCUCCUUUUUCUUAUCAGUGAAACUGAUCUCCCCGUGAAGAAGCGGGGAUUUUUUUAUAAGACGAGAAGACCCUAUGGAGCUUUAAACUUUACAACACCUGCUUCCCAUUGCUAUUUUCAGAAAACUAUACCCCACAGCAACCUGUUUGUGAGUUUUCGGUUGGGGCGACCCCGGAGAACAACUUAUCCUCCGCAAUGAAUAGACACCUCUUUAGUUAAAAGUCACAUCUUAAUACACCAGAAAACUGACAUAUAUUGACCCAAAAUUUUGAUCAACGAACUAAGUUACCCUAGGGAUAACAGCGCUAUCCACUUUGAAAGUUCCUAUCGACAAGUGGGCUUACGACCUCGAUGUUGGAUCAGGGUAUCCUAGUGGUGCAGCCGCUACUAAGGGUUCGUUUGUUCAACGAUUAAAACCCU